rnacentral:rRNA from 1 species
AUUGAACGCUGGCGGCAUGCUUUACACAUGCAAGUCGAACGGCAGCGCGGGCUUCGGCCUGGCGGCGAGUGGCGAACGGGUGAGUAAUACAUCGGAACGUGCCCAGUAGUGGGGGAUAGCUCGGCGAAAGCCGGAUUAAUACCGCAUACGACCUGAGGGUGAAAGCGGGGGAUCUUCGGACCUCGCGCUAUUGGAGCGGCCGAUGGCAGAUUAGCUAGUUGGUGGGGUAAAGGCCUACCAAGGCGACGAUCUGUAGCUGGUCUGAGAGGACGACCAGCCACACUGGGACUGAGACACGGCCCAGACUCCUACGGGAGGCAGCAGUGGGGAAUUUUGGACAAUGGGCGAAAGCCUGAUCCAGCAAUGCCGCGUGUGUGAUGAAGGCCUUCGGGUUGUAAAGCACUUUUGGCGGGAACGAAAAGGACUGUGCCAAUACCACGGUUCGAUGACGGUACCCGCAGAAUAAGAACCGGCUAACUACGUG